rnacentral:misc_RNA from 1 species
GAUGAAGAACGUAGCGAAAUGCGAUACGUAAUGUGAAUUGCAGAAUUCAGUGAAUCAUCGAGUCUUUGAACGCACAUUGCGCCCCCUGGUAUUCCGGGGGGCAUGCCUGUCCGAGCGUCAUUGCUGCCCUCAAGCACGGCUUGUGUGUUGGGCCUCCGUCCUCCUCCCGGGGGACGGGCCCGAAAGGCAGCGGCGGCACCGCGUCCGGUCCUCGAGCGUAUGGGGCUUCGUCACCCGCUCUUGUAGGCCCGGUCGGCGCUUGCCGACACAUCAAUCUUUUUUCCAGGUUGACCUCGGAUCAGGUAGGGAUACCCGCUGAUCUUAAGCAUAUCAAUAAGCGGAGGA